CGAGUAGCGAGAGACGGGUGAAGAUCCCGUCCGCUGGAUGACCAAGGGUUCCAGGGCCACGUUCAUCGUCCCUGGGUGAGUCGGGUCCUAAGGCGAGGCCGACAGGCGUAGUCGAAUGGAUGAACGGGUCGAUAUUCCCGCACCGGCUUUCAGCCGCCAAAACCGAGGCUUGGAGUACUAACCUCCGGGUCCGGGCUUACUGCUCCUUCGGGGGCGGGAUGCCCUGGCCUGUUGGGACCGAUCCUUGUAGUAGGUCAGCGCAGGAGUGACGCAGAAGGGUAGCCGGCCGCGGAGGUGGUCUUCCGUGGUCAAGCACGCAGGGCGUGGGACAGGCAAAUCCGUCCCGCAUGGGUCCGAGGUGCGAUGAUGGGGGCCUUAUGGCCCGAUAUCCGGUGAUCCCGGCUGCCGAGAAAAGCUUCGGCGUCAGGCUCAAAGCCGCCCGUACCCCAAACCGACACUGGUGGUCAGGUAGAGAAUACCAAAGCGAUCGAGCGAAUCCUGGUCAAGGAACUCGGCAAAUCACUCCCGUUCCUUCGGUUUAAGGGAGACCCCCGAUGGUGAACACACUUGCUGUGGGAGCUUUUGGGGGUGGCACAGACCAGGGGGUAGCGACUGUUUACCAAAAACACAGGUGCAUGCGAAGGCGCAAGCCGCUGUAUAUGCACUGACGCCUGCCCGGUGCCGGAAGGUUAAGAGGAUCCGUCAGCCUUCGGGUGAAGCGGUGAAUUCAAGCCCCGGUAAACGGCGGUGGUAACAAUAACCAUCCUAAGGUAGCGAAAUUCCUUGUCGGGUAAGUUCCGACCUGCACGAAUGGCGUAACGACUUCCCCACUGUCUCGACCAGGAGCUCGGCGAAAUUGCAGUACGAGUAAAGAUGCUCGUUAAGCGCAGAAGGACGAAAAGACCCCGGGACCUUUACUAUACCUUGGUAUUGGCAUUCGGUGUGGAUUGUGUAGCAUAGGCGGGAGGCCGAGAGGCGCGGUCGCCAGAUCGCGCGGAGCCGUAAGGUGAAAUACCGCUCUGUUCGCAUUGGAUGUCUAACCUCGAACAGUCAUCCUGUUCAGGGACAGUGCCUGGCGGGUAGUUUAACUGGGGCGGUUGCCUCCCAAAGAGUAACGGAGGCGCCCAAAGGUCCGCUCAGCCCGGUUGGCAAUCGGGUGGCGAGUGCAAGUGCACAAGCGGGCUUGACUGCGAGGACGACGGUCCGAGCAGGGACGAAAGUCGGGACUAGUGAUCCGGUGCCGGUGUACGGACGCGGCAUCGCUCAACGGAUAAAAGGUACCCCGGGGAUAACAGGCUGAUCAUUCCCAAGAGUCCAUAUCGACGGGAUGGUUUGGCACCUCGAUGUCGGCUCGUCGCAUCCUGGGGCUGGAGCAGGUCCCAAGGGUUCGGCUGUUCGCCGAUUAAAGCGGCACGCGAGCUGGGUUCAGAACGUCGUGAGACAGUUUGGUCUCUAUCCUCUGCGCUCGUUGGAAUGCUGAGGAGGCCUGCCCAUAGUACGAGAGGACCUGGGUGGACGAACCUCUGGUAUGCCGGUUGUCACGCCAGUGGCACGGCCGGUUGGCUACGUUCGGAAGGGAUAACCGCUGAAAGCAUCUAAGCGGGAAGCCUGCUCCAAGAUAAGCAUUCCGUGGAACCUUCGAGUUCCUGUAGUCCCCAUGCAGAACACGUGGUCGAUAGGCCGGACGUGGAAGCCCCGCGAGGGGUGGAGCCGACCGGUACUAACGGACGAAAGGCAACACU
rnacentral:rRNA from 1 species